CUUUAAAGCACACCACUGUUCUGUCACUUAUUAGAAGGACAAGAUGAAGCUCAGUCCACUUGCAGUGAUGCUUUUGCUGAAUUUUCUUGGAACAGUGCCACAUGCUCAAGGGAAUCCUAAAGCUGUGGUGUCCAUAACACCUUCUGAACAUGUAUUUACUUGUGAGAAAGUUACACUUAGUUGUGACAUAAAUGAUGAAAAAGAGUUUGGAUGGAGGUACAGCUGGUAUAAGAAUAACAACAUCCUGCAUGCACAUGGCGAUCGAUUAAGCGCAGACAGCUCAAUGCAUGAGGUCAAUAUCAGUUGUGCUUAUCAAUCUGACAGUGGUGUCUACACCUGCAGAGGACAGAAGAAUGACUCUCAAAGCUCAGAGAUCAGUAAUACUGCUACACUGACUGUAUCAGAAACACCACAGGCAGUACUGAGUGUGACUCCACAAAGCUGGCUGACUGAAGGAGACUCGAUCACUCUAAAGUGUGAGGUUACAGACUCCUCUACCGAAUGGACAUUCAGCUGGUACAGAGACGUUCCCUACAGAGACAAUAAUGGCCAUAUUAGGUAUAGAGCAGUGCUUCUCUCAGACAGCAGCAGAGGAUCUGGAGGCUCCUACACUCUGAGUCCUGCUGCUCUUAAUCACACAGGAGUUUAUUUGUGCAGAGGAAAGAGAAGAGGAGAACCAGCCUUUCACACACAUUACAGCAAUCUACAGCCUUUAUGGAUCUCUGGUAUAAUAUGAUGGACAUAGAUGUGUAAAUGUGUAUUAUAUUUGUAAGAUGGAGAAAUACAGCUGUGUUGAUGUUUUGUGUAAAACUCUUUAUAUUCAUCUUUCUGGGUGAAUCUCCUCCAGUGUCUCUGAUCAUCAGUCCCAACAGAACUCAACACUUUACUGAUGACUCUCUCUCACUGAGCUGUGAGGACCAGAGUCACUCUACUGGAUGGAUAUUAAGACAAUACACACACAAAUGGGGACUGUUAAUCUGCCCACAUGCAAGAUCUGUUUUAGGAUCUACAUGUAAAAUCAGCUUCCUCUCCACAUCCUACACUGGAGUUUACUGGUGUGAGUCUGAGUCUGGAGAAAACAGUAAUCCUGUCAACAUCACAGUUCAUGGAACAUCACAUGGACAAACUUCAUUCUCAGUGCUCAUGCCGAUCAGUAAGGCAGUGACGUUCUCUCUGUAUGUUCUGGUCACCAUCAUACUGCUGGUCAAAUGUUACAGGGCUCGAGUUCGUACUGAAGACAGAGGCAAGAAUGUCAUAGAAGAGUUAGUUCAUCUAAGAAAAUGAACUGGUGUAAACUGCUGGAUUUUUCCUAAGUCUUGAAGGAGUUCCCCGAGAGAUGCUUGGCACUUGUUGGCCCUUUUGCCUUCACUCUGCGGUCCAGCUCACCCCUAAACCAUCUCGAUUGGGUUCAGGUCCGGUGACUGUGGAGGCAUGAUGCAACACGAUUAACCCUCUGGGGGUCGGCGCUCUCUGCUGUCCCUGUCAUCUCUCUUCACAGACUCAUAAAUAAAACAACUUGAAUCUCACUGAAUACUUACUUACUUAGAAGAAAUGUUUACUUUUAAAUAAACAAAUGUUAUCUGAUUAUGUAAUUGUAUGAAAGUUAGAAGCGGUACAGUUUCUCCGUACUAUUUUUUGUCUUGUAUAACAUUUACGAAAGUAUUUUGUCGUCAUGCACUUUGUUUGGUUUUACUAAUAAUAAACAUCAAAUUUUGUAAAGUCAUUCAUAUUUGUCCAAGCCCAUGUUGGGUAAAGUAUUAAAAAGUUUUUAAUAUAUUUAUAUAUUUAUAUUAAUUAUAAUUUUUUAUGUAAGUGCAAAGUCCUAUAUAAUCGAAAUUAGCCUAAAAAAAUGGUGGAAAAUAAGUCAAAAAUAAUAAAAUAAUAAAUAAAAUUUGUGUUUAACUGAAAACCCAAACAAAGCCUGCUUAUGUCUGCUACUGGAAAGAGUAAUUCCCAAUUUGACCUGUACAGACCCAAAAUCCAUUUCAUUGGUGUGCAAUGUUGUGAGCAAACUUGAGAUGUGUUUUCAUUUUUGUGUUUAUAUUUAUUUCAAUUCUAUUUACUUGUAUGCAAAUUUUUAUCAACAAAAUGUUUACAAUUAAUAGAUAGGAUUUGUUAUUUUCUAUAUUAAUAUAAAAGUGGUCCAUUUUGUAAUUAUUUGUAGAUGGCCUUAUAACCCCUCCCAGACUGAUGAGCAGCAACAAUUGUUUCUCUGAGGUCAUGGCUGAUGUUCUUAAAAGCAUAAUAUAGACACACACUUGAGUGGUUUGGGAAUCUAGUGCUGUAAUAUUUGAAUGUUUUUGAUCUUCUUAGGUAAUUCUUUAAAUCAAUUUAUACAAUUUGUCUACUAUGAAUAUUUAAAAAGUUUGUGUGACUUCUUUCCAUACUCUUUCCCCAUAUUGUCAUGCUGUAACUGCCAUAUCUUUAUGAUAAAUGCUCACAUACUGUGUGUACCAAGAAUAAUAAUAAUAAAUUAUAAUAUAAUAAUAAAAGUACAGCUUUCAAUGUUUUUGUAAAUCUCAAUAAACUUGGGAAAUCUUUC